AGUGAACGCUGGCGGUAGGCUUAACACAUGCAAGUCGAACGAGUGGCGGACGGGUGAGGAAUAUAUCGGAAUCUGCUCUGUCGCGGGGGAUAACGUAGGGAAACUUACGCUAAUACCGCAUACGAUUGGAUGAGCCGAUGUCGGAUUAGCUAGUUGGUGGGGUAAAGGCUCACCAAGGCGACGAUCCGUAGCUGGUCUGAGAGGAUGACCAGCCACACUGGAACUGAGACACGGUCCAGACUCCUACGGGAGGCAGCAGUGGGGAAUAUUGGACAAUGGGCGCAAGCCUGAUCCAGCCAUACCGCGUGGAUGAAGAAGGCCUUCGGGUUGUAAAGCCCUUUUGUUGGGGAAGCGGUACCCAAAGAAUAAGCACCGGCUAACUUCGUGCCAGCAGCCGCGGUAAUAC
rnacentral:rRNA from 1 species